rnacentral:rRNA from 1 species
UACGAAGGGGGCUAGCGUUUGUUCGGAAUUACUGGGCGUAAAGCGCACGUAGGCGGAUAUUUAAGUCAGGGGUGAAAUCCCGGGGCUCAACCCCGGAACUGCCUUUGAUACUGGGUAUCUAGAGUCCGGAAGAGGUGAGUGGAAUUCCGAGUGUAGAGGUGAAAUUCGUAGAUAUUCGGAGGAACACCAGUGGCGAAGGCGGCUCACUGGUCCGGUACUGACGCUGAGGUGCGAAAGCGUGGGGGAGCAAACAGG